UCCGGCUUGUCGCCGGCGGUCCCUCUAGAGUGCCCAACUGAAUGAUGGCAACUAAAGGCGAGGGUUGCGCUCGUUGCGGGACUUAACCCAACAUCUCACGACACGAGCUGACGACAGCCAUGCAGCACCUGUGUUCCGGUUCUCUUUCGAGCACCCCCGCCUCUCGGCAGGCUUCCGGACAUGUCAAGGGUAGGUAAGGUUGUUCGCGUUGCAUCGAAUUAAUCCACAUCAUCCACCGCUUGUGCGGGUCCCCGUCAAUUCCUUUGAGUUUUAACCUUGCGGCCGUACUCCCCAGGCGGUCAACUUCACGCGUUAGCUACGGUACUGAGAAAUCGCUUCCCCAACACCCAGUUGACAUCGUUUAGGGCGUGGACUAC
rnacentral:misc_RNA from 1 species